rnacentral:rRNA from 1 species
AGCGAACGCUGGCGGCAUGCUUAACACAUGCAAGUCGAGCGGGUGGAUUCGGCCAUCCGCGGCGUACGGGUGGGUAUCGCGGAGGAAUGUAUCCCUAGGUGGGGGACAACCCUGGGAAACUGGGGCUAAUACCGCAUGGGGCCUGUCGGUCAAAGCCUUAGGGCGCCUUGGGUGCAGCGUGCGUCCGAUUCGGUAGUUGGUGUGGUAAAGGCCUCCCAGUCCUUCGAUCGGUAGCUGGUAUGAGAGGACGAGCAGACACACUGGGACUGCGACGCAGCCCGGACUCUUACGGGAGGGAGGAGUGGGUGAUAUUGGAAAACGGGGGCAAGCAUGAUGGAGCAAGGCCGGGUGAGUGAAGAUGGUCGGCGGAUAGAAAAGCCCUUUUGGCGGGGACGAUGAUGACGGUACCCGCAGAAGAAGCCCCGGCUAACUUCGUG